AAAACCAACCAUCAGAAAAUAACACUUUUAAGUGCGAACAUAGCUUUCAGUUUGCUGUUUGAUUCAUCUGAUAAACGAAAAUGUCUAUACCUGCGUGGAGGCGGGGAAAAUGAAGGAAGGUCUUUUAUUCUAUUUUACACAGCCCAGUAUGUGGUUCCAGGAGAGUAUCACUGGUGAACAUUAACUGUAACGUAACUGUUAUCCACAGGAAAGCUACCAAAAAUGCACCAUCGAAUAUCUAACCUGAUUGAUUCAACUUCUCUCUCACCAUAGUUGUUCUCGGGGUAAGUGAGAACUGGCACCUUUAACUGUGGUGACUUUUCGGGUGAAAAGUCUGACCUUGACCAUCUAUCUCCCAGUGAAGAUACCAAAAACAGGAAGAGUUGAAAUGUGGCCAGUGGGAGGGGAAAUGAUUCAAGAAUCAAGCGCCCCCGGCAAUGCACAUGCUUACACAAUCUGAUGGAAAGAGCCGUAUUAUUACUUCUGACCUCGCCUGUUUAACAUGCAUUGAGUUGAAGGAUCAUUUCACUGGAUGUUCUCGGAGGACUCAACACAAAGACCGAAAGGGUGUGGUGCAGAACCCAGGAUAGGCAGGAUUCAAUCCAGCCUGAAGGUGCGGGAAGAGCUGAGGGUCCACAUCCUUGCCUCGCUCCUGUCUCGUGGGAUAAGUCCGCUGCCUCCUGCAGGGGCUGAUGGAUGAACCCCUUCAGUUGGCUGUUGGAAGCCACACCGGAAGAGGGAGAGGAGCAGAUGGAAAAGGCUUGGAGGGACAGCUGUGCCGUCUCAUCGGUCUCUUUCCAGGGAACAUACACCAUUCCAGGAUGUUCUCCAGUGAAACAGUGGUGUAAAACAAAAAAUAGGAAGUCUCCGGAUCCACGAAACAGAGGACCCAAUACACAGCGAGGGAGAAGGAAAGACCCUGAUGGGGAUGAGGCAUCCCGGGUUGAGACUCUGCAUGAGACCAAGUCCAGGCUGGAGCAGGAGGAUAGAGGAGCGUAAGAGAGAGGUCCUGGAAAAACAACAGCAGUAGCAGCUACCACAGCAACCAAAAUCAAACCAAAGAGGAAUGAGAACUACCCGAUGUCGCUGGAAAUUAAUAUUGGUAGACAUCUGGGAAUCUGUAGGAACUUUUGGAGAAAAGUGAAGGGUAUAUAGAAACUAAACAAGUGAAAGCAAGGCAAGUAUUCCCUUUGGGUAAAACAAUGGGUUGUCUAAAAAAGGAGCUGCAACCACAGGAUACUACUUGGAUUAGUCACGAUAAUAUCAGGCUGAUGACUCUCGCUUUAAGCCAGAAUUGUGCUAUCACCACAUUGAGAAAAUAGAAAAGGAAAUAAAAUGUGGGUGGUUAUAAUCUAAAUCUACAUCCUUUUUUUUUUUUUUUUUAGACAAAG